CCUGCUUGGAGUAGAUUCUUUUUUUUUUUGACAGAACUGCUUGGAGUAGAUUCUGAUACACAAGUGUGGUGAAAUGGUUUCGGUUGAUGUGCGGCCGCGCGUCCACCGUCAACCUCCUGGUGGCAGCAUCGGUGAUAAAGCCUAAAGGAGAGGAAGUUGGUGGUGGCAUCUUCUUCUUUACUUCAACGCGUAGUUAGGUCUCAUUUGACACUGGCUCCGGCUCUUUGUAAAAGUACUUCGGCCGGCUCCUCAUGUGAAAUAGUUUCUUCGAUGAAGCUGAAGUCGUUUGAGAAAUGGUUAGCAAACC
rnacentral:lncRNA from 1 species